rnacentral:ncRNA from 1 species
AUGAAUAGGAAAUCUGUAGGUCCUGAUUCGAAGAUCAAGCACAUCAAGAAUCGGGUUAAAAGGGAAGUCGGUUGAAGUCCGACACGGUCCCGCCACUGUGAAAUGGGAAUGACCUCAGUUGCCACUGUUCCAUGCGAUGGAAUGGGAAGGCGAGGACAUAUACAAGCCCAUAAGUCAGGAGACCUGCCUAUAGAUGCGAUACACA